GGUUAAGCGACUAAGCGUACACGGUGGAUGCCCUGGCAGUCAGAGGCGAUGAAGGACGUGCUAAUCUGCGAAAAGCGUCGGUAAGGUGAUAUGAACCGUUAUAACCGGCGAUGUCCGAAUGGGGAAACCCAGUGCAAUUCGUUGCACUAUCGUUAACUGAAUACAUAGGUUAACGAGGCGAACCGGGGGAACUGAAACAUCUAAGUACCCCGAGGAAAAGAAAUCAACCGAGAUUCCCCCAGUAGCGGCGAGCGAACGGGGAGCAGCCCAGAGUCUGAAUCAGCUUGUGUGUUAGUGGAACGGUCUGGAAAGUCCGACGGUACAGGGUGAUAGUCCCGUACACCAAAAUGCACAGGUUGUGAACUCGAAGAGUAGGGCGGGACACGUGGUAUCCUGUCUGAAUAUGGGGGGACCAUCCUCCAAGGCUAAAUACUCCUGACUGACCGAUAGUGAACCAGUACCGUGAGGGAAAGGCGAAAAGAACCCCGGCGAGGGGAGUGAAAAAGAACCUGAAACCGUGUACGUACAAGCAGUGGGAGCACCUUCGGGUGUGACUGCGUACCUUUUGUAUAAUGGGUCAGCGACUUAUAUUCUGUAGCAAGGUUAACCGUAUAGGGGAGCCGCAGGGAAACCGAGUCUUAACUGGGCGUUAAGUUGCAGGGUAUAGACCCGAAACCCGGUGAUCUAGCCAUGGGCAGGUUGAAGGUUGGGUAACACUAACUGGAGGACCGAACCGACUAAUGUUGAAAAAUUAGCGGAUGACUUGUGGCUGGGGGUGAAAGGCCAAUCAAACCGGGAGAUAGCUGGUUCUCCCCGAAAGCUAUUUAGGUAGCGCCUCGUGAAUUCAUCUUCGGGGGUAGAGCACUGUUUCGGCUAGGGGGUCAUCCCGACUUACCAACCCGAUGCAAACUACGAAUACCGAAGAAUGUUAUCACGGGAGACACACGGCGGGUGCUAACGUCCGUCGUGAAGAGGGAAACAACCCAGACCGCCAGCUAAGGUCCCAAAGUCAUGGUUAAGUGGGAAACGAUGUGGGAAGGCACAGACAGCCAGGAUGUUGGCUUAGAAGCAGCCAUCAUUUAAAGAAAGCGUAAUAGCUCACUGGUCGAGUCGGCCUGCGCGGAAGAUGUAACGGGGCUAAACCAUGCACCGAAGCUGCGGCAGCGACACUAUGUGUUGUUGGGUAGGGGAGCGUUCUGUAAGCCUGCGAAGGUGACCUGUGAGGGUUGCUGGAGGUAUCAGAAGUGCGAAUGCUGACAUAAGUAACGAUAAAGCGGGUGAAAAGCCCGCUCGCCGGAAGACCAAGGGUUCCUGUCCAACGUUAAUCGGGGCAGGGUGAGUCGACCCCUAAGGCGAGGCCGAAAGGCGUAGUCGAUGGGAAACAGGUUAAUAUUCCUGUACUUGGUGUUACUGCGAAGGGGGGACGGAGAAGGCUAUGUUAGCCGGGCGACGGUUGUCCCGGUUUAAGCAUGUAGGCUGAUUGUCCAGGCAAAUCCGGAUAAUCAAGGCUGAGGUGUGAUGACGAGGCACUACGGUGCUGAAGUAACAAAUGCCCUGCUUCCAGGAAAAGCCUCUAAGCAUCAGGUAACAUCAAAUCGUACCCCAAACCGACACAGGUGGUCAGGUAGAGAAUACCAAGGCGCUUGAGAGAACUCGGGUGAAGGAACUAGGCAAAAUGGUGCCGUAACUUCGGGAGAAGGCACGCUGGUGUGUAGGUGAAGUCCCUGCGGAUGGAGCUGAGACCAGUCGAAGAUACCAGCUGGCUGCAACUGUUUAUUAAAAACACAGCACUGUGCAAACACGAAAGUGGACGUAUACGGUGUGACGCCUGCCCGGUGCCGGAAGGUUAAUUGAUGGGGUUAUCCGUAAGGAGAAGCUCUUGAUCGAAGCCCCGGUAAACGGCGGCCGUAACUAUAACGGUCCUAAGGUAGCGAAAUUCCUUGUCGGGUAAGUUCCGACCUGCACGAAUGGCGUAAUGAUGGCCAGGCUGUCUCCACCCGAGACUCAGUGAAAUUGAACUCGCUGUGAAGAUGCAGUGUACCCGCGGCAAGACGGAAAGACCCCGUGAACCUUUACUAUAGCUUGACACUGAACAUUGAGCCUUGAUGUGUAGGAUAGGUGGGAGGCUUUGAAGCGUGGACGCCAGUCUGCGUGGAGCCAACCUUGAAAUACCACCCUUUAAUGUUUGAUGUUCUAACGUUGGCCCCUUACCGGGGUUGCGGACAGUGUCUGGUGGGUAGUUUGACUGGGGCGGUCUCCUCCCAAAGCGUAACGGAGGAGCACGAAGGUUAGCUAAUCCUGGUCGGACAUCAGGAGGUUAGUGCAAUGGCAUAAGCUAGCUUGACUGCGAGCGUGACGGCGCGAGCAGGUGCGAAAGCAGGUCAUAGUGAUCCGGUGGUUCUGAAUGGAAGGGCCAUCGCUCAACGGAUAAAAGGUACUCCGGGGAUAACAGGCUGAUACCGCCCAAGAGUUCAUAUCGACGGCGGUGUUUGGCACCUCGAUGUCGGCUCAUCACAUCCUGGGGCUGAAGUAGGUCCCAAGGGUAUGGCUGUUCGCCAUUUAAAGUGGUACGCGAGCUGGGUUUAGAACGUCGUGAGACAGUUCGGUCCCUAUCUGCCGUGGGCGCUGGAGAAUUGAGGGGGGCUGCUCCUAGUACGAGAGGACCGGAGUGGACGCAUCACUGGUGUUCGGGUUGUCAUGCCAAUGGCACUGCCCGGUAGCUAAAUGCGGAAGAGAUAAGUGCUGAAAGCAUCUAAGCACGAAACUUGCCCCGAGAUGAGUUCUCCCUGAGACUUUAAGUCUCCUGAAGGAACGUUAAAGACGAUGACGUUGAUAGGCCGGGUGUGUAAGCGCAGCGAUGCGUUGAGCUAACCGGUACUAAUGAACCGUGAGGCUUAACCUU
rnacentral:rRNA from 1 species